AGGAGCUGGAGUCCUGUGCUGCCAAGCAAAGCAGAGUCCAGUAUCAGAUCUGGCAUUCUGAACAGAAAUAAAUAUCCCCCAGCAAAGAUGGUCACAGCAACAUUCUGGCAGCCCAGAACCAAAAAGCAAGUUGACUGAAGAAAGUGCAUGUGGUUCAUCUGUUUUCACCCAUAUCUGCUGAGGAACACACCCAGUAAAGUGAAGUGGAAUUUAAGUAAAUAAAAGUAAACUAAACAGAAUAAAAUUAUAUUCAGUUCAUUCAAGCCUGUAAAUGGAAGAAUUUCAAGUCUGUAAGUGACAAAGUUGAGAAGAGACAGCAAGUGAGAAACACAGGGAUAAUGCAAUCAAAAUAUGAGGGCAGGAAAAUAUAUGCCC